GGCGCUCCCUAAAACUACACAUCCCGUAAUUAACUUGUGCGCAUGCGCAGUAGCGUUCUCCUUGCGUCAUUGAUUCCUAUAGGCCACUUCACGCUUUCAACCAUCCUCUUGAAGAAAGUUUAAAUUCUUGUUGUCUGGUUCGUCCAACAAACGACGACGAAACGGACGUUUUCCUAUCACACCAAAUGUGCCGCUUCACUCUGCUACUGGAGGAACAGGCUGACUGCAACUGGCUGCUAUGGAUGCUAUACUGAAUGGAUGGCAGGAAAGCACAACACACGUGAAUUUCUAGAUGAAGAGUGAAUAAAUACACUUGCUUAACUGAUAA